ACCCACUCAUGGUUGCUUAUGGUGGCCACUAAAAAUGCAAAAGUAUUUGGUUUGUCCAUUCAGGGCUACUGUAGGAAAAUGGCAGUCCAACAUGGCCGCAACCGUGAGUGAGGACCUGCUCAGAUUUAAAAGACUCAUUCUGAGGUGCCUGAAUGUCUGAGGAAGUUGUGAUCUCCUCCAUCUCAUGGGAAACAAAUGAGGCCUCUGCAGGGAGCGCUAGCGGGGAAUGAGGCCUCCCUGCGCCCACUGCUAUAGACGGAGCAGAUCCUUGUAAUAAUGUGGAUACUUCGCCUCCGCCGCCUUGAAAAACAGCUCGCGGGAGAGCAGAGGGGGGCCUGUUUGGGUCCUUUGAUUCUUCUUCUCACCAUAAGCAGGCCCCCAACCCUGGACCUCCUGCCCUUACUGUGCACUUGUCGAAGACAAUCAGCAUUCCCACAGUAACACACCAUGCUUAGAGUUUUUCUUAGUGUACGUGAGUGUGGAGUAAAGGAGAUUAAGCCCAUGUUGAUGUGUCCAGGGACAAGAGACCUGUAGCUAUGUCUGUUUAUGGUGCUCAGACUCUGUCACAGCCGAAUUAAUACCAAUCAUACACACGACUAAUUCUAUUUGACAAAUGGAAGAGAUAGUGAGGGAUGAGGAGAGAGACUGCUUGGAUUCAACGAGGAACUUAUACGGGGGAGUUCAGGAGACAGCGGGGUGGAUCCCAGCUCCAUCUCGCCUAUGUGGGGAAUGCAAACCGUGGCUGUCAGCAUGGUAACCGCUGACCUGGGUUGCCAUAGUUUCAAAACCUUUUGUUGACAAACGCGAGAAUUCACCUUUUCAUCUCGCCACGCGUUGUGAAGGUACGCCGAUGAUGUGGACUCUGAACGGGACAACACCGACCGUCCAUCUCGCAUUUACACAGGAACAUUGUUAUUUAUUUUUGUGUCUUAUCAGAACUUUAAUGUACAAAAAGCCUUUAUAUUUUGACAUUAAUGAAUGAAAAUGCAUGUGGUAAAAAUCCACUUCAGCUCUUAAUGAUUUAUUUGAAUACUUGUUAUUUUUGCAAAUUGCUUGCAGCAUCAGAGCCAUGUUUUUUUUGUUUUUUUCAAACUCUGUAGUCUUUCUUUUUUCUUUUAUAGGCUUACUGCUCAAAAUCCUAUAAAUGCAAAUUCAAAAUCUUUGGUUUGCAAACGCGAGAUAAAUUGUUUUCACUUAAAGCUACAACAAGGAAUUUAAAACAAUGUUUUGUUGAUUUUGGAGGCCCCUGUGGAGCUGCUGAAUGUAACUUUGCCUGGGAAAAUGUAAACAGAUCAUUUCACUUUAAGUCAUUUUCUCCUCAAAUUGAAUGUUUUUUUUCUUUUGCAUUUCAGCUUGCCUUUAUUGCAGUGUAGCAUGACCUCACAAAUAUUUAACCUUAACCAAAUAUUUCAUUAAAGAGUUAGU